CCUCAUCCCUGCUGCAUUUCUUAACCGAAUUCAAGUCCAUUUUUCACCUGCUAAUAGCUACAUAAACCCUAUCAAGCGUAAUGUCCAAUAUCAAACUCCGUUGCUUGCGACACAUGAGGAAGAACGAUGUCCACAACAUGGCGAAGGAUCUGAUCUGACCUUGAAAGCUGUACAGUCUCCAUAGAAUGGGCGAUACUUUCACCCGACGAUAGUCUCACCCAAGCAAUGAGGCCUCCACCACAUUAUCCGCACCCUCCCGUGUAGUGUAAGCGAAGCACUGAAGAUCGAUCGGAGCAUCGAUAAUAACUCUCCGCUUUUUGACCCUAUUCCAUUUUAAGACUUUCUUGUUGUGCCAAGGGCAAGUCAACCGCCAUGCCCACAUCUCAUCUCCGCGCCCUGCCCUGCGAAGAAGGGCGUUUAAGUUUCGGCGGACAGGGCUGAAAUAGGCAAAGAGAGGAGCAAGGAUCAAGCGAGUGGACCCAACAUCCCAACAACCAAACAGAAAACCGAAUGAAUCUUGAAUGAGCCAACCAGUAUCUCAUCUUCCCUGGUGAUUGGGAGAUUAAGCAAGAUUGGGAUGUGAGGAGGUGGGAGGGAGCUGAAUGACCGUAAAAUCCGGGGAAAUGUUUCAUGGUUUCAGAUCAGAACCAAGAGAUGGCAAGGAUCAAAAGUCCCGUUUCGCCCUGGAUGGAAGCGUUCGAAUUGGGGUUUACAUAGUAGCCGGAGCGGGAUGAGGAUCACCUUUCCUG